CAGAAACGAGAAUAGGCAAGGAUCUGCUCUGGUGUCUGGAAAAUGUGGGGACUUCUGGAAGCUGGGAAUUUAUUUCCUGCACAGCAUGGCCUGUUUUGCCCAUGGAUAGAAAGAGGCAACCAGCUCCUGAUGAAACCGUCCCUGUGGGGAGUGCAGGGGCAGAUGGGGACUCCAUGGAGGCAGCCGACCUGCGACAGCCUUCAGUUCCGACAAAGACACAUCACCUUGCAAAUGACACUCUGCCGUCUGGUUUCUGCGUUUUGUUGUAACAGGUUAAAUGAACCCCUGGGCUUAAUUUUCCCCCUACUUAGUUCUGUGGCAGCAAAGAAAAGUGACUUGACUUCAUUUCUCAGCUCAAAACUUCUUAAGCUGUGUCUCUUCCUCAUCACCCCUUUGAGAAUAAAAGUCUAGAAAUGAAACACAA